GAUGAAGAACGUAGCGAAAUGCGAUAAGUAGUGUGAAUUGCAGAAUUCAGUGAAUCAUCGAAUCUUUGAACGCACAUUGCGCCCCUUGGUAUUCCAUGGGGCAUGCCUGUUCGAGCGUCAUUUGUACCUUCAAGCUCUGCUUGGUGUUGGGUGUUUGUCUCGCCUCUGCGUGUAGACUCGCCUCAAAAUAAUUGGCAGCCGGCGUAUUGAUUUUGGAGCGCAGUACAUCUCGCGCUUUGCACUCAUAACGACGACGUCCAAAAGUACAUUUUUACACUCUUGACCUCGGAUCAGGUAGGGAUACCCGCUGAACUUAAGCAUAUCAAUAAGCGGAGGA
rnacentral:misc_RNA from 1 species